UGAUAUCAUUCCAACAACAAUAUUGAUUAGUCUGCCUCAAAAAAAUGUAACAUGGAGCCAAAUGGCUGCUUUUUCUGCUAAAUUUGAAGUGAAAAUAUAUUUUAACACAGGACAUUUUUUGUUAACAGGGUUAUUUAUUAUAUAGAGAUGUGAAUAACCACAGCAUGACAGCCAUAAGAAUAAGCCCUGAAACACUGGAACAAGAUGGCACUGUCAUUUUACCAGAUUGUCACACUGAAGGUCAAAAUAUUUUAUUCACGGAUGGAGAAUAUAUUAAUCAGAUAGCUGCUUCAAGAGAUGAUGGUUUUGUUGUCAGAAUAUUUGCCACAAGUACUGAACCUGUGCUGCAACAGGAAUUACAACUUAAACUGGCCCGAAAAUGCUUGCAUGCCUGUGGCAUCUCACUAUUUGAUCUGGAAAAGGACUUGCAUAUAAUAAGUAAGAUGGCAAAAUAAGUCUUUUCCCCAUGUUUUAGUUUUCACACUUUUUAUUCUUUAAAAAUCUAAUUAUCUAAUUGUGUUUUUAGCAGUUUUUAGGUGUUUUGUGUCUGUUACACAAUUUUGAGUUAUAAAUGGAGAAAUAAGUAGGAAAUAUGACCUUUAAACAGAAUAUGAUAUUGAAAGACCAUUUUAAGGAAGUGACUAAUGAUAGCACUCUUUCAGUAUCAUUUUGAAUAGCGUAAAAGAAAAUAAACCUACAUUUAAUAGAAUUAUGGAUGACACUAUGAUAUCUUAGUUUAUAUAUUCCAUCUUUUGUCAGUUAAUUUAAAAAAUCUUUUAUUCUACAUUACAAUUUUGUAAAAUUCUUUCAUUGGAACCUUCAGUUCUUUUUAGCAGUCAGUUUUUUUUAUUGCCAGAAACAUAAUAAAAAUUUUACCUCAUAAAAGAUGGAGGGAGGGAGAAGAGGGAAAGGGGAUGAAAAAAAGAAUUAAGAUGUGUUAUGUAUAAUUACCAACAUGUAAUAUGUACUGCAAACAUGUACCAAUAAAAAAAUUAGAAAAAAUUUUAAGUACACAGUGUGGUAUUAUUAACUGUAUGCACAUUCCUCUACAGUGGAUCUCUAGAACUUUUUCAAGUGGUGUUGAUUGAAACUCUAUACACUUUUUUAUUUUUUUGUAUGUGUACAUAGCAUGUUUUAAUUGUCGCCACCCCCCCAGUCACCCUGCUUUUCUUACCCUCCUCUGGUUUCACAAGUUCUUUGGGGGGUUUCCAUGUAUAUAAUACAUUUUAAUCACAUUCAUGCCCCCUGUUACCUACCUUUCCAU
rnacentral:lncRNA from 1 species